rnacentral:rRNA from 1 species
ACGCUCGACACCUACGGAGGCAGCAGUGAGGAAUAUUGGUCAAUGGGCGCUAGCCUGAACCAGCCAAGUAGCGUGAAGGAUGAAGGCUCUACGGGUCGUAAACUUCUUUUAUAUAAGAAUAAAGUGCAGUAUGUAUACUGUUUUGUAUGUAUUAUAUGAAUAAGGAUCGGCUAACUCCGUGCCAGUAGCCGCGGUAAUCUGAGCGGGCUGGCAAGGC